rnacentral:rRNA from 1 species
UGACCUCGGAUUAGGUAGGAAUACCCGCUGAAUUAA